UCUCAGUUGGUAGAGCAUGGUGUUUGCAACGCCAGGGUUGUGGGUUCGAUUCCCAC
rnacentral:tRNA from 1 species